GAUGAACGCUGGCGGCGUUCUUAACACAUGCAAGUCGAACGAAGCACUUUGGACAGAUUUUUUGGAUGAAGUCCUUAGUGACUGAGUGGCGGACGGGUGAGUAACGCGUGGGUUACCUGCCUCAUACAGGGGGAUAACAGUUAGAAAUGGCUGCUAAUUCCGCAUAAGCGCACGGUACUGCAUGGUACAGUGUGAAAAACUUCGGUGGUAUGAGAUGGACCCGCGUUGGAUUAACUAGUUGGCAGGGUAACGGCCUACCAAGGCGACGAUCCAUAGCCGGCCUGAGAGGGUGGGCGGCCCCCUUGGGGCUGAGACCCGGCCCCGACUCCUUCGGGAGGCAGCAGUGGGGAAUAUUGCACAAUGGGGGAAACCCUGAAGCAGCGACGCCGCGUGAGCGAAGAAGUAUUUCGGUAUGUAAAGCUUUAUCAGCCGGGAAGAAAAUGACGGUUCCAGGGUAAGAAGCCCCGGCUAACUACGUG
rnacentral:rRNA from 1 species